GAUGAACGCUAGCUACAGGCUUAACACAUGCAAGUCGAGGGGCAGCAUGAAGUUUGCUUGCAAACUUUGAUGGCGACCGGCGCACGGGUGAGUAACGCGUAUCCAACCUUCCCCUUAGUAGGGGAUAGCCCGGCGAAAGUCGGAUUAAUACCCUAUGUUGUUCGAAGCAGACAUCUAAAUUGAACCAAAGGUUUACCGCUAAGGGAUGGGGAUGCGUCUGAUUAGGUUGUUGGCGGGGUAACGGCCCACCAAGCCUGCGAUCAGUAGGGGUUCUGAGAGGAAGGUCCCCCACAUUGGAACUGAGACACGGUCCAAACUCC
rnacentral:rRNA from 1 species